CCAGCAGCCCCCUUUUUUUUCAGAGGGUUGCGACCCCGCAUGGGGAUGAGGCCUGGUCUUGUGGAAACUGAACUUAGCUUCGCGGGGCUGACAGCUCUGGUCCAGGGUG
rfam:Ailuropoda melanoleuca C59912635_1, whole genome shotgun sequence.